UUCUAUACGCGAUUUCCACUCAUUCUAGUUUUGCAGUGCAAAAAGUGAAUUCGUUUUUCUGCGGAGCCCAUUGCAAUGAGUGAAUAAUUUUUGUGCUAAUUGGAAAAUAAAAAGACAAAACCUUGCAAAGUUGUGAAAACUUCUUAGCAACUGUGCGGAAAACCGGUGUAAACUGCAAAUGUUCUAUAGUUUUUGCGAAAAAAUAUGCAAAUGAAAAAAGGUUGUGAAAAGAAUUACCAACAAGAAAAAAGUGCAGGAAGAAGCAGAGUAGUGAAAUAGUGAACGAAGCAAGUGAAAUUGCAUGUAUUGCACAAAUGCAGAAUUAAAUACAAAACAAAAAAGUAAAGAUUGCUUGAAAAAUCUUUGCAAUUUUUUUCUGUGUUUGAAGUUCGGGGGUAAUUUUGUUGCAAAUUCCGUUUGGUAAGCUUUGUGCAGUGAUAGACAUAAAAACAACUGCUGAUUGCAGUCGGAGGGUAAAACAAAAGCAACAACGCGUGCAGCGCAGUAUCGUGGGGCGCAGAGGAAAAGCAGCAGCAGCGUUGAAGAAGCAGCUGAUUUUCGUUUGACGUUCCGGUGGUGUUAGGCAGAGCGCUACAGCUGCGCUAACUGCGCAGUUCACCAUUCGAAAGAACAAAAGAAGCGUCCAUUUUGGUUUACUUAUAAAUUUGGUAUUUCUCCUCGUCACAAAAAUAAUCGAUAAAACCAGAUUAACCAGGGACGAAUUUUGUAUGGCUAAUCGCCUUUUCUAAUUACAGAUUGGGGAGUUCAGCUCCCCCUAAUGAGGAUAAUCUAUUUAUAUGUAAACCUAGUAUACCGAAAAUGAGCAUAAGUAAAGAAUAAGCCCCUUCGAGUUAGAAAAACAUUUUUGGUGCAAAUUAAUAAUCGAUUCCAGCUCCAAACUCGAAAGAAGCAUCGAGUACUUACAUCUAAUUGACAAGUUUUAACUACA